CGAGGUUGGCUGUGUGAGUUGGACCAAGCGCACUGGCCGCCGGUUGCCAUGACGGCCUGACGCCCCAAGGGUUUGUUUGGAAAGCCAAGCCCAGCGAACAUGAGGCCACAUGGUAACCAUGACAACCAACACAGCCCAGGGCAGGGGGGAGAUGUGGGGACUGUGGGACGAGUGGAGAGGGAGUAUGUCCAUGCCUCCUCUUUCCAACCUUCCAAUAAUAGUACUACCCUACCACUGCCAGUAGGGAGGGAUGUGGGAAGAGAAAGGUGGAUGGGAGGAGCCUAAGCCUCACCUCUCUAACCUCCCUCUUACACUGCUCUCUCCUACUGCCAUGAGCUGGGAAAAUAACUGACCUCCACAGAGCUGCCAGGGGGAGCAGCCUGGAAGUCAGAACACACUCAGAGUCAUAUACUGUACUGUACAUAACAGACUCACCUUCACAAAGGCUCUCACUGAGAGUCAUAUACUGUACUGUACAGAACAGACUCACCUUCACAAAGGCUCUCACUGAGAGUCAUAUACUGUACUGUACAGAACAGACUCACCUUCACAAAGGUUCUCACUGAGAGUCAUAUACUGUACUGUACAUAACAGACUCACCUUCACAAAGGCUCUCAUGAGAGUCAUAUACUGUACUGUACAGAACAGACUCAUUUACACAUGCAUUGGACCUUUUUUCAGGUGAACACAAAGUCAUAUACAGGCGAAAUGCACACACACACACAGACACCUAUACUACAGAUCUAUAAUAACUAGAACUGCACAUCACACUAUUACCACUCACAACACUACAGAUCUAUAAUAACUAGAACUGCACAUCACACUAUUACCAC
ensembl:lncRNA